rnacentral:tRNA from 1 species
GGGGUUGUGGCUCAGCGAGAGUGCUCGCCUUGCACGCACGAAGCCCUGAGUUCAAUCCUCAGCACCACA